CACCAUUGACCUUUGGCAAUUUUUUACCUCAAAAACUUCAAUCGAUGAACCAUGCAGAGACAAAUUCAUGCGAGAUUUCAGUGAUGGAGAAUGAAACAGUAUCACCUGUUGCUGUAAAGAGGUUACAAUUCACAAAUCUCGUUGCUGAGGAGGAUUUGAAGGAUAAUCGAUGACCAUGCAGAGACAAAUUCAUGCGAGAUUUCAGUGAUGGGGAAUGAAACAGUAUCACCUGUUGCUGUAAAGAGGUUACAAUUCACAAAUCUCGUUGCUGAGGAGGAUUUGAAGGAGUUGCAUGCGGAGAAAACUAAGCUUGGUGCAGAGGAGAUCUCAAAGGAGAUGCAUGUGGAGAAGAUAACUGCUGCAGAUGUGGUGCGAGGUAAUCGUGAUUCACAAAUGGGCAAACAACUAUCUUAUGUUCCUCCUAUUGAGCGAGAAGGAAAAAAAGUAGUUCAAAUUAGUGCUGAAGAUCUGCAAUCACAAGUGGAUUAUUGGCAAAAUUCACUGAUUGGAUUUGUGAUAGGUGAUAGACCUAAUGAGCAAUCUAUGGAAAAUUUUGUAAUCCAUGUGUGGAAUUUUGUUACUAAACCUCAGGUGCUUA
rnacentral:lncRNA from 1 species